AUGGAAUGAGACCUUUCUAGGAUAUUCUGAUGGAGGGCAGCUCCCAUCUGUGCUGUGGGAUGUUCAGUGUGGCUGUUGCUCUCUGCUCUCUGUCAGUUCUGUGACACGUGGCCAUAGAGACCAGCAAAUGCCUCCCUGAAGAUCAGCAUUCCUGCUUCUCCACGUACAUGUUUUCAGACUUUCUCUUGAGGAGUGGCCUUGCCCCAUCCAGCCCCCGGAGCGUUCCCAGUGCUCUCAUCCCGCUGUGGUUUCCAGCUCGGCCACAAGCUGCUGGCUCACCCCAGCUGGUGGGCAGCUGAUAGUAGCACUGUGUUCCUGUUCCUGAGCACGCUCAGGAGAGCGUAAAAAUAGUUGGGAAAGCAAGCUAAAAUCCACUAGGAAGGACAGAAGGAGAGAGGAGGAGAAGAACAACAUACGGCCAAUACUUGAGCUUGAGCUGAGCUGGAGGUGAUGAAAUCAAUGUGUGAUUGAUAUACAGUGCAGCUGCUCUGCUUCUCCAUAGCAUCUUCCAUGAAAAAACAACAGAGGUGAGAGCUGUGUGCUGGGAAAAGUGUUCACCUCAUGCCCGAGUUCCCAAAAUAGUCAGUGGAGCAGGAUCUGAAGAAGGUGGUUCAAAGGAAAAGCUUAAGUUCAAAUGCUCCUGUUCCCACCCCCUUCAGCACUGGGGCCCUGGGGCAGAGUCACUGCUGGCAGGUGUGAGUGGGGCAGUGACGGGAUGGCCUUGAGCACCUGAACUGAGAUGAUCUGAAACCAGGGGUUGGGAUUGACCCCCACUGUCCCCUCAGGUGAGAC